rnacentral:rRNA from 1 species
AAUUUAAAGUCGUUAAAGAACACUGGUAAUAAAUUAAAGGGCGGGCAGUAUAUUGACUGUACAAAGGUAGCAUAAUCAUUAGUCUUUUAAUUGAAGACUUGUAUGAAAGAUUUGAUGAAAUAUAAACUGUCUCUAAUUUAAUAAUAGAAUUUAAUUUUUUAGUUAAAAAGCUAAAAUAAUAUUAAAAGACGAGAAGACCCUAUAGAGUUUUAUAUUUAAUUUAAUUAUAAUAAAAUAUAUAAUUAAUUAUCAAAAUUAAAUUAAGUAUUAUAUUGGGGUGAUAAAAAAAUUAGAAAAACUUUUUUUAAAUUUAAAACAUAUAUAAGUGAUUUUAUGAUCCAUAAUUAAUGAUUAUAAGAAAAAAUUACCUUAGGGAUAACAGCGUAAUAUUUUUUUUUAGUACAAAUAAAAAAAAAAGUUUGCGACCUCGAUGUUGGAUUAAGAUAAAAUUUAAAUGCAAAAGUUUAAAAUUUUGAUCUGUUCGAUCAUUAAAAUCUUACAUG